GCCCUUGUGGCCUAAUUGGUUAAGGUAUCGCUUUCCGAAGGCGGGGAUUGCGGGUUCGAGUCCCGCCUCGGGUU
rfam:Babjeviella inositovora NRRL Y-12698 unplaced genomic scaffold BABINscaffold_18, whole genome shotgun sequence.